rnacentral:rRNA from 2 species
UACAGAGGGUGCGAGCGUUAAUCGGAGUUACUGGGCGUAAAGGGCGCGUAGGCGGUUUAAUAAGAUUGAUGUGAAAUCCCUGGGCUUAACCUAGGAACUGCAUCGAUGACUGUUAAGCUGGAGUAUUGUAGAGGGUAGUGGAAUUUCCGGUGUAGCGGUGAAAUGCGUAGAGAUCGGAAGGAACACCAGUGGCGAAGGCGGCUACCUGGACAAAUACUGACGCUGAGGCGCGAGAGCGUGGGGAGCAAACAGG